AACGAACGCUGGCGGCAGGCCUAACACAUGCAAGUCGAGCGCACCUUCGGGUGAGCGGCGGACGGGUUAGUAACGCGUGGGAACGUACCCUUUUCUACGGAAUAGCCUUUGGAAACGAAGAGUAAUACCGUAUACGCCCUUUGGGGGAAAGAUUUAUCGGAGAAGGAUCGGCCCGCGUUAGAUUAGAUAGUUGGUGGGGUAACGGCCUACCAAGUCUACGAUCUAUAGCUGGUUUUAGAGGAUGAUCAGCAACACUGGGACUGAGACACGGCCCAGACUCCUACGGGAGGCAGCAGUGGGGAAUCUUAGACAAUGGGCGCAAGCCUGAUCUAGCCAUGCCGCGUGAGUGAUGAAGGCCUUAGGGUCGUAAAGCUCUUUCGCCUGUGAUGAUAAUGACAGUAGCAGGUAAAGAAACCCCGGCUAACUCCGUGCCAGCAGCCGCGGUAAUACGGAGGGGGUUAGCGUUGUUCGGAAUUACUGGGCGUAAAGCGCACGUAGGCGGAUUGGAAAGUUGGGGGUGAAAUCCCGGGGCUCAACCCCGGAACUGCCUCCAAAACUAUCAGUCUAGAGUUCGAGAGAGGUGAGUGGAAUUCCAAGUGU
rnacentral:rRNA from 1 species